CCGAAGAUCGAGAAUAGGAGUAUAUCGAACUCCUAGUACUGCCCGAGGUAGCCUGUGAAUAGCAGAUAUCGUCAAGGAUUAUAUUCGGCUUUACUACUCCAAAAACCAUAGGUUUACUGCCUUUGUGCACUUUUGUUCCUUGUGGGCCCAUGAGUCACUGUAAAGUAAAUUUCAUAUCCCGAUUAUUUGAAUUAUAGUACGUAUGAAUUUAUUUAACUUUUACAUUA
rnacentral:sRNA from 1 species